rnacentral:rRNA from 1 species
AUGUGGAGUUUCGUUUGUCGAGUCCUGGCACUAGCAUUGUUGGCUGUUUUUUUAAUUCCCCCCCUAUUUAUGGGAGAACCUUUAGGAGCCGUAGGCGCUAAACAACACUUAAGUUUCGUUCAUGCAACCACCCAGGUUUUGGGCGAUGACACUCUUGCUCUAAGAAAAGGUUCUAUACUCAAUUUUAUUCCAUAUGUUCUGGGAGAUCCUUUGUGUACAUGUUGGCUUGCAAAAACGUCGUUUUUGUGUGACGUAGGAGUAUUACUUAUCCAUGUUAACAUUGUGGAUGAUAAGUUACAUAAGGGAGAAACUUUAUCACCAAAUAAAGGCUUUGAUAUGCAAAUAAUUCUCUGUUGA